AGGCGAUGAAGGACGUGCUAAUCUGCGAUAAGCGUCGGUAAGGUGAUAUGAACCGUUAUAACCGGCGAUUUCCGAAUGGGGAAACCCAGUGUGUUUCGACACACUAUCAUUAACUGAAUCCAUAGGUUAAUGAGGCGAACCGGGGGAACUGAAACAUCUAAGUACCCCGAGGAAAAGAAAUCAACCGAGAUUCCCCCAGUAGCGGCGAGCGAACGGGGAGGAGCCCAGAGCCUGAAUCAGUGUGUGUGUUAGUGGAAGCGUCUGGAAAGGCGCGCGAUACAGGGUGACAGCCCCGUACACAAAAAUGCACAUGCUGUGAGCUCGAUGAGUAGGGCGGGACACGUGGUAUCCUGUCUGAAUAUGGGGGGACCAUCCUCCAAGGCUAAAUACUCCUGACUGACCGAUAGUGAACCAGUACCGUGAGGGAAAGGCGAAAAGAACCCCGGCGAGGGGAGUGAAAAAGAACCUGAAACCGUGUACGUACAAGCAGUGGGAGCACAGAGCAAUCUGUGUGACUGCGUACCUUUUGUAUAAUGGGUCAGCGACUUAUAUUCUGUAGCAAGGUUAACCGAAUAGGGGAGCCGAAGGGAAACCGAGUCUUAACUGGGCGUUAAGUUGCAGGGUAUAGACCCGAAACCCGGUGAUCUAGCCAUGGGCAGGUUGAAGGUUGGGUAACACUAACUGGAGGACCGAACCGACUAAUGUUGAAAAAUUAGCGGAUGACUUGUGGCUGGGGGUGAAAGGCCAAUCAAACCGGGAGAUAGCUGGUUCUCCCCGAAAGCUAUUUAGGUAGCGCCUCGUGAAUUCAUCUCCGGGGGUAGAGCACUGUUUCGGCAAGGGGGUCAUCCCGACUUACCAACCCGAUGCAAACUGCGAAUACCGGAGAAUGUUAUCACGGGAGACACACGGCGGGUGCUAACGUCCGUCGUGAAGAGGGAAACAACCCAGACCGCCAGCUAAGGUCCCAAAGUCAUGGUUAAGUGGGAAACGAUGUGGGAAGGCCCAGACAGCCAGGAUGUUGGCUUAGAAGCAGCCAUCAUUUAAAGAAAGCGUAAUAGCUCACUGGUCGAGUCGGCCUGCGCGGAAGAUGUAACGGGGCUAAACCAUGCACCGAAGCUGCGGCAGCGACACUGUGUGUUGUUGGGUAGGGGAGCGUUCUGUAAGCCUGUGAAGGUGUGCUGUGAGGCAUGCUGGAGGUAUCAGAAGUGCGAAUGCUGACAUAAGUAACGAUAAAGCGGGUGAAAAGCCCGCUCGCCGGAAGACCAAGGGUUCCUGUCCAACGUUAAUCGGGGCAGGGUGAGUCGACCCCUAAGGCGAGGCCGAAAGGCGUAGUCGAUGGGAAACAGGUUAAUAUUCCUGUACUUGGUGUUACUGCGAAGGGGGGACGGAGAAGGCUAUGUUGGCCGGGCGACGGUUGUCCCGGUUUAAGCGUGUAGGCUGGUUUUCCAGGCAAAUCCGGAAAAUCAAGGCUGAGGCGUGAUGACGAGGCACUACGGUGCUGAAGCAACAAAUGCCCUGCUUCCAGGAAAAGCCUCUAAGCAUCAGGUAACAUCAAAUCGUACCCCAAACCGACACAGGUGGUCAGGUAGAGAAUACCAAGGCGCUUGAGAGAACUCGGGUGAAGGAACUAGGCAAAAUGGUGCCGUAACUUCGGGAGAAGGCACGCUGAUAUGUAGGUGAAGUCCCUCGCGGAUGGAGCUGAAAUCAGUCGAAGAUACCAGCUGGCUGCAACUGUUUAUUAAAAACACAGCACUGUGCAAACACGAAAGUGGACGUAUACGGUGUGACGCCUGCCCGGUGCCGGAAGGUUAAUUGAUGGGGUCAGCGCAAGCGAAGCUCUUGAUCGAAGCCCCGGUAAACGGCGGCCGUAACUAUAACGGUCCUAAGGUAGCGAAAUUCCUUGUCGGGUAAGUUCCGACCUGCACGAAUGGCGUAAUGAUGGCCAGGCUGUCUCCACCCGAGACUCAGUGAAAUUGAACUCGCUGUGAAGAUGCAGUGUACCCGCGGCAAGACGGAAAGACCCCGUGAACCUUUACUAUAGCUUGACACUGAACAUUGAGCCUUGAUGUGUAGGAUAGGUGGGAGGCUUUGAAGUGUGGACGCCAGUCUGCAUGGAGCCGACCUUGAAAUACCACCCUUUAAUGUUUGAUGUUCUAACGUGGACCCGUGAUCCGGGUUGCGGACAGUGUCUGGUGGGUAGUUUGACUGGGGCGGUCUCCUCCUAAAGAGUAACGGAGGAGCACGAAGGUUGGCUAAUCCUGGUCGGACAUCAGGAGGUUAGUGCAAUGGCAUAAGCCAGCUUGACUGCGAGCGUGACGGCGCGAGCAGGUGCGAAAGCAGGUCAUAGUGAUCCGGUGGUUCUGAAUGGAAGGGCCAUCGCUCAACGGAUAAAAGGUACUCCGGGGAUAACAGGCUGAUACCGCCCAAGAGUUCAUAUCGACGGCGGUGUUUGGCACCUCGAUGUCGGCUCAUCACAUCCUGGGGCUGAAGUAGGUCCCAAGGGUAUGGCUGUUCGCCAUUUAAAGUGGUACGCGAGCUGGGUUUAGAACGUCGUGAGACAGUUCGGUCCCUAUCUGCCGUGGGCGCUGGAGAACUGAGGGGGGCUGCUCCUAGUACGAGAGGACCGGAGUGGACGCAUCACUGGUGUUCGGGUUGUCAUGCCAAUGGCACUGCCCGGUAGCUAAAUGCGGAAGAGAUAAGUGCUGAAAGCAUCUAAGCACGAAACUUGCCCCGAGAUGAGUUCUCCCUGACCCUUUAAGGGUCCUGAAGGAACGUUGAAGACGACGACGUUGAUAGGCCGGGUGUGUAAGCGCAGCGAUGCGUUGAGCUAACCGGUACUAAUGAACCGUGAGGCUUAACCUUACAACGCCGAAGGUGUUU
rnacentral:rRNA from 1 species